GAUGAACGCUGGCGGCGUGCCUAAUACAUGCAAGUCGAGCGAACAGACGAGGAGCUUGCUCCUCUGACGUUAGCGGCGGACGGGUGAGUAACACGUGGAUAACCUACCUAUAAGACUGGGAUAACUUCGGGAAACCGGAGCUAAUACCGGAUAAUAUAUUGAACCGCAUGGUUCAAUAGUGAAAGACGGUGUUGCUGUAACUUAUAGAUGGAUCCGCGCCGCAUUAGCUAGUUGGUAAGGUAACGGCUUACCAAGGCAACGAUGCGUAGCCGACCUCAGAGGGUGAUCGGCCACACUGGAACUGAGACACGGUCCAGACUCCUACGGGAGGCAGCAGUAGGGAAUCUUCCGCAAUGGGCGAAAGCCUGACGGAGCAACGCCGCGUGAGUGAUGAAGGUCUUCGGAUCGUAAAACUCUGUUAUUAGGGAAGAACAAAUGUGUAAGUAACUAUGCACGUCUUGACGGUACCUAAUCAGAAAGCCACGGCUAACUACGUG
rnacentral:rRNA from 1 species